rnacentral:rRNA from 1 species
UACGGAGGGAGCUAGCGUUGUUCGGAAUGACUGGGCGUAAAGCGCGCGUAGGCGGCUUUUUAAGUCAGGGGUGAAAUCCCGGCGCUCAACCCCGUAACUGCCCUUGAAACUGGAUGGCUAGAAUACUGGAGAGGUGAUUGGAAUUCCGAGUGUAGAGGUGAAAUUCGUAGAUAUUCGGAAGAACACCAGUAGCGAAGGCGACUCACUGGACAGCUAUUGACGCUGAGGCGCGAAAGCGUGGGGAGCAAAUAGG